rnacentral:rRNA from 1 species
GAUGAACGCUGGCGGCGUGCUUAACACAUGCAAGUCGAACGGUGAACGAGGGAGCUUGCUCCCUCCGGAUCAGUGGCGAACGGGUGAGUAACACGUGAGCAAUCUGCCCUGGACUCUGGGAUAAGCGUUGGAAACGACGUCUAAUACCGGAUACGAGGCGUGGGGGCAUCCCCAACACCUGGAAAGAACUUCGGUCCAGGAUGAGCUCGCGGCCUAUCAGCUUGUUGGUGAGGUAACGGCUCACCAAGGCGACGACGGGUAGCCGGCCUGAGAGGGUGACCGGCCACACUGGGACUGAGACACGGCCCAGACUCCUACGGGAGGCAGCAGUGGGGAAUAUUGCACAAUGGGCGGAAGCCUGAUGCAGCGACGCCGUGUGCGGGAUGACGGCCUUCGGGUUGUAAACCGCUUUCAACUGUGACGAAUUUGACGGUAGCAGUAGAAGAAGCACCGGCUAACUACGUGCCAGCAGCCGCCGUAAGAC